rnacentral:rRNA from 14 species
UAAAAAGCUCGUAGUUGGAUCUGUGUAUCGGACGGUCGGUUCGCCGCUCGCGGCGUUCAACUGACCGGUCCGGACGUCCUGCCGGUGGGCGGCUGAUAAAGGCCCCGCAAGGGGCCGGUCGCCCGUUAACCUUCCCUCCGGGCUGCUCUUAACCGAGUGGCGCGGUGGGCCGGCACGUUUACUUUGAACAAAUUUGAGUGCUCAAAGCAGGCCUCGAGUCGCCUGAAAACUGUGUGCAUGGAAUAAUGGAAUAGGGCCUCUUCUCUAUUUUGUUGGCUUUUCUGAGAUAGAGGUAAUGAUUAAUAGGGACAGACGGGGGCAUUCGUAUUGCGACGUUAGAGGUGAAAUUCUUGGAUCGUCGCAAGACGGACGGAUGCGAAAGCGUUUGCCAAGAAUGUUUUCGCUAAUCAAGAACGAAAGUUAGAGGUUCGAAGGCGAUCAGAUACCGCCCUAGUUCUAACCAUAAACGAUGCCAGCCAGCGAUGCGCCGACGUUCCUCCGAUGACUCGGCGCGCAGCUUCCGGGAAACCAAAGCUUUUGGGUUCCGGGG